rnacentral:rRNA from 1 species
CAGCCGCCGCGGGAAUACAGAGGGUGCGAGCGUUAAUCGGAUUUACUGGGCGUAAAGCGUGCGUAGGCGGCUUCUUAAGUCGGAUGUGAAAUCCCUGAGCUUAACUUAGGAAUUGCAUUCGAUACUGGGAAGCUAGAGUAUGGGAGAGGAUGGUAGAAUUCCAGGUGUAGCGGUGAAAUGCGUAGAGAUCUGGAGGAAUACCGAUGGCGAAGGCAGCCAUCUGGCCUAAUACUGACGCUGAGGUACGAAAGCAUGGGGAGCAAACAGGAUUAGAUACCCCGGUAGUCCCUGUCUCUUAUAU